GACGAACGCUGGCGGCGUGCCUAAUACAUGCAAGUAGAACGCUGAAGGAGGAGCUUGCUUCUCUGGAUGAGUUGCGAACGGGUGAGUAACGCGUAGGUAACCUACCUGGUAGCGGGGGAUAACUAUUGGAAACGAUAGCUAAUACCGCAUAACAGUAGAUAUCGCAUGAUAUCUACUUGAAAGGUGCAAUUGCAUCACUACCAGAUGGACCUGCGUUGUAUUAGCUAGUUGGUGAGGUAACGGCUCACCAAGGCGACGAUACAUAGCCGACCUGAGAGGGUGAUCGGCCACACUGGGACUGAGACACGGCCCAGACUCCUACGGGAGGCAGCAGUAGGGAAUCUUCGGCAAUGGACGGAAGUCUGACCGAGCAACGCCGCGUGAGUGAAGAAGGUUUUCGGAUCGUAAAGCUCUGUUGUAAGAGAAGAACGAGUGUGAGAGUGGAAAGUUCACACUGUGACGGUAUCUUACCAGAAAGGGACGGCUAACUACGUG
rnacentral:rRNA from 1 species